AUUGAACGCUGGCGGCAGGCUUAACACAUGCAAGUCGAACGGGUGGCGGACGGGUGAGUAAUGCUUGGGCCUGGUGCUUGUGGAGAGGGUUAACUACGGGAAACUGAAGCUAAUACCGCGUACCAUAGGAUGAGCCCAAGUGGGAUUAGGUAGUUGGUGAGGUAAAGGCUUACCAAGCCGACGAUCUGUAGCUGGUCUGAGAGGAUGCCCAGCCACACGGGGACUGAGACACGGCCCAGACUCCUACGGGAGGCAGCAGUGGGGAAUAUUGCGCAAUGGGGGCAACCUGACGCAGCCAUGCCGCGUGAGUGAAGAAGGCCUUCGGGUUGUAAAGUUCUUUCGGUAGCGAGGCGUUAACUACAGAAGAAGCACCGGCUAACUCCGUGCCAGCAGCCGCGGUAAUUC
rnacentral:rRNA from 1 species